AUUGAACGCUGGCGGCAGGCCUAACACAUGCAAGUCGAGCGGAUGAAGGGAGCUUGCUCCUGGAUUCAGCGGCGGACGGGUGAGUAAUGCCUAGGAAUCUGCCUGGUAGUGGGGGAUAACGUCCGGAAACGGGCGCUAAUACCGCAUACGUCCUGAGGGAGAAAGUGGGGGAUCUUCGGACCUCACGCUAUCAGAUGAGCCUAGGUCGGAUUAGCUAGUUGGUGGGGUAAAGGCCUACCAAGGCGACGAUCCGUAACUGGUCUGAGAGGAUGAUCAGUCACACUGGAACUGAGACACGGUCCAGACUCCUACGGGAGGCAGCAGUGGGGAAUAUUGGACAAUGGGCGAAAGCCUGAUCCAGCCAUGCCGCGUGUGUGAAGAAGGUCUUCGGAUGGUAAAGCACCUUAAGUUGGGAGGAAGGGCAGUAAGUUAAUACCUUGCUGUUUUGACGUUACCAACAGAAUAAGCACCGGCUAACUUCGU
rnacentral:rRNA from 1 species